UUUAAUGCUUUUGCACUGAAAGGAAGCAAAGGUAUCAAUUAGAAACGAGUUCUACAUCUAUUAUACUUGAAGGUUUGCCAUCCAACAUCUAAGGGCAAAAAAUCCUUCUCUGGACUGAAUCAACAAUUCACUAGGAUUAUCAAAAGGGGCCAAUAUACCCAAGAGGGUGGGAAUCCAAUCUAUACAGCAUGUGACAAAAGAUCCAGCAUCAUCAUAUCAUGAUUUUCUUGGUACUUUCGAGUUUGACACAAAACUACACAGAUUGAUUUCAAUGCUUAUUGUUUUAUUGUACCAUUACCAAUCUUCAUAAGCAAUCAUAAAAACCUGAAAAUA